rnacentral:rRNA from 1 species
AGUGAACGCUGGCGGUAGGCCUAACACAUGCAAGUCGAACGGCAGCACAGUAAGAGCUUGCUCUUACGGGUGGCGAGUGGCGGACGGGUGAGGAAUACAUCGGAAUCUACUUUUUCGUGGGGGAUAACGUAGGGAAACUUACGCUAAUACCGCAUCCGACCUACGGGUGAAAGCAGGGGAUCUUCGGACCUUGCGCGAUUGAAUGAGCCGAUGUCGGAUUAGCUAGUUGGCGGGGUAAAGGCCCACCAAGGCGACGAUCCGUAGCUGGUCUGAGAGGAUGAUCAGCCACACUGGAACUGGGACACGGUCCAGACUCCUGCGGGAGGCAGCAGUGGGGAAUAUUGGACAAUGGGCGCAAACCUGAUCCAGCCAUACCGCGUGGGUGAAGAAGGCCUUCGGGUUGUAAAGCCCUUUUGUUGGGAAAGAAAAGCAGCAGGUUAAUACCCCGCUGUUCUGACGGUACCCAAAGAAUAAGCACCGGCUAACUUCGUG